AGCGAACGCUGGCGGCAGGCUUAACACAUGCAAGUCGAGCGGGCCCUUCGGGGUCAGCGGCCGACGGGUGAGUAACGCGUGGGAACGUGCCCUUCGGUUCGGAAUAACUCAGGGAAACUUGAGCUAAUACCGGAUACGCCCUUAUGGGGAAAGGCUUGCUGCCGAAGGAUCGGCCCGCGUCUGAUUAGCUAGUUGGUGAGGUUAUGGCUCACCAAGGCGACGAUCAGUAGCUGGUCUGAGAGGAUGAUCAGCCACACUGGGACUGAGACACGGCCCAGACUCCUACGGGAGGCAGCAGUGGGGAAUAUUGGACAAUGGGGCAACCCUGAUCCAGCCAUGCCGCGUGAGUGAUGACGGCCUUAGGGUUGUAAAGCUCUUUUCUCCGGGACGAUAAUGACGGUACCGGAGGAAUAAGCCCCGGCUAACUUCGUG
rnacentral:rRNA from 1 species